GUGCAUUUUUGUUUUUACAAUUGUUGCACAAUAUACAGCACAAGCCUGAUUUGGUGAGCUGUAUGUGAGAUUCACACAUACUCCAUUUGCAGUGUGCAUGCAGUCCAUGUGUGGUACAGAAGCGGUGCAGAAGCAGCUUUCACACAGGAGUCCACUACGAAUCCCUGGCUCUUUACCACAAACACAACAUUUAUCCAUUAUUUUGAUUUAAAAAACAAACAUUGUUACUGAAAAUGCUUUUUCAACAUUGCCAUUCUUUUUGUACAUAGUACAGUAAUGCAAUCUUUCAUAGACGUGUUUAAAUGCAAUAAAUAUAAGCAACACAUUUUUCAAUGCUUUUUACUUUUGUCUUUACUUCUAGAUUUAUAUAAGAAGUUGUGGCAAAACAUUUAAACUACUUCUCUUACAUUAUCACAAACAUUCUAAAUUAAAACUUACAAUUGACAGAAAUGGCUCUACUGCCUUUUCUUUUGCCUUUAAAUCUUUAUUACAAGCAAUCCUGCAGUUCAUAAAGAUCUUUUUUUCCUACCUCCACGAGUCCAAUCUAUACUUUCCUUGUUUAUCUAAAAGUGCUCUUUUCCUUAUAGCAAAAAUGCCGUAUGUGUUGACUGUUAAACACAGUAGACUUUAAUUAUAUGCACUGCUGUGUAAUAUGCAUAAGAAUACAAUUACCCUGCCUCAUUGUUUAAUGUAUUUAGUUAAUAUAUUAUGUCUAAGGGUGUAUUCUUUUGUUUAUUUCCUGGGAAGGCCUCAUACAGGCAAAUAUGUAACUGCUGCAUGUUGUAGAGGAAAUUCAGCAACUGUCCUAUUGCAAGUAUGCCUUUACCUUUAAAUACCUUUGUAUUUUAACCAAAUACAGUUGUUAUUGGUAUUGUUUUAUUGAGAAGGUGGUUUAUUAAGAAAUACACCACACAUUAUAUUGUAUUUGUUUUAUUGAGAAAGUGGUUUAAGUAAAACACCACACCAGUGUUAUUUUCGUUAACGAAGAUGACGACGAAAAAUAUUCGUUAACGAACAUUUUUCUGUGACUAAGAUGAGACGUUGACGAGCUAAAAAUAUUAUCUGAUGACGAAAUUAUGAAAAAAUUUAUGCCGCGCCUUCGUUAACUAGACGAGACUGGACUAUAAUGUUAUUUGAGGACUACCGGACAUUCAAAAUGCAUCCUAUAGGCUAUUGUCCUUCAAAAUGUGCGUCCCUGUCAUUGGAUUGCGAUCGGAUAAGGGGUGUUUGCAUAUCUAGUCAGUAUAGCAGCUGCAGUGGAUGGAUAGGCUAAUAAAAUGCGAACUAGCGAUCUGAAACAAUGGCCUCAGCACCCGAAGGGGUAGGGAUAAGGUAAUCAGACGUCCCGUUUUUCCCGGGAGUACGGUGUACAUUUUAGGACAUCCUCAGACCUCAGUCAUUAAAUGAAAAGGCGUCAUGCCUCAGACUAAAAGGCUUCAGUCAUUGGAAAAAACGGCAUCGCGCCUCAGACUGAAAAGCUUCAGAUCUCAGGAAAAAGGACGUCAGGUGUCAGGUCUCAUACAAUUAGGCAUCAGACGAAACGGACUCAGACAAAAAGGCAUCAGACGAAACAGACUCAGGAAAAAAGGCAUCAGACGAAACGGACUCAGACAAAAAGGCAUCAGACGAAACGGACUCAGGACAAAAAGGCAUCAGACGAAACGGACUCAGGUAGAGUAUCGCGUUGCCCCGCCCCAGGUGACGUCACACGCACGUGGUUCAGAGGAAGUGGUAUAUAACGGUUGAUUGAUGGCAAAAGGAGUCAAUCAAGUUAUCGCUGACAUUUUCGGGGUAAGCGUGGCUACGGUGAGCAAGACCAUUAUCACCUGGGCUAAUUACCUGGGUUCAGUACCCAUUUAGAUGUCCAGGCAACAAAAAAGCUCCUCCAUGCCAGAGAAUUACCGUUUGUUCAAUCCAAACCUGCAUGUCAUCCUGGACUGCACAGAAAUCCGCUGUGAAAGCCCUGCAUCGCUGAUACUCCACUCUGAGAUCUUCUCCAGUUACAAGAGUACUACCACAUUCAAAGGUCUGGUUGGGGUAGCUCCAUGUGGUGCAGUGACUUUUAUCUCCCAGCUUCAAUCUCCGGUUCAACACCGGUUCAAUCUCUGACAAAGAAAUCACGAAGAAGUCCGUCAUUUUGGACCUGCUUGAGCCUGGAGAUGUGGUCAUGGCAGACAAGGGGUUCACUAUUGAAGAUAUGCUCUCCAGUGUUGGUGCUAGACUGAUCAUUCCACCUUUCAAAUGUGCCAAGCAGUUCAGCAAACAGGACUGUGAAAAAACACAGGCCAUUGCACGCCUCAGAAUUCUGGUGGAAAGGGUGAUUAGAAGGGUCAAGGAAAACCACAUAUGGGAUUCUGUUGUGCCACUCACCUUGUCAGGAAGUAUUAAUCAGAUCUGCCAUAAUUGCUGUUUUAUGGUUAAUUAUCAGGGACCAAUGUUUCUUGAGCAGUGAAUGUAUAUUAGUAUAUUACAUUUUUUAGAAUGACUGUG
ensembl:lncRNA